GAUAUGGAACAGAAGAAGAAACUGAUAGAGUUAGCAUUUAACCUAAAUGCAGACCACGCUCAAGCAUCUGAGAAGGUUCAUGAAUACACAAACCUAACCCUUCACAACCUUCAGCUUGCUUUUUACUACAGUUUCAUAGACACUGCUGCUCAGGGGUUCCAUGGACAGGAAGGUGAAAUU